rnacentral:lncRNA from 1 species
GCGAUCAAACAUCAGAUAACUUACAAUAAGAACGGUAAUUAAUCAGUAGAAAUGCUUAUUUCAUGCAAUAUAUCCUUGUAAUAUUUCUUGAUCGUCUAUUUGAAAAUGAAGUACUUAUCAAUAGUUGGAGUAACGGUUGUGUUUCUUGUCAUCCUUUCGUGUGGUAAGUACAUGUUAUUUGUUAUGAAACAAAAUAUUUUCUAUAACAUUUUAUUUUCGAUUUUUUAAAUUAAUUAAGUCAGACUUAAUCAUACACCGAAAUUAUGAUUUAAUUGAAAUGAAAAAUAAGAACCAAUUGAAAUUGGCGGUUGGAAAUCUGCAACAGUCAAAGUUCCUACACUUUCAUGUUUUUGUACGUUAACAUUUUGUUUUUUGUUUUACAUGUAUACAGUAUAAACAAUUCCAAACGUUUGUUAUGUAUCCAUGAAUUGGAUAUAACAAAAAAAUUAUCUUUCAAUAAUUGCUGUUCUAAGAAUUUUUUUUGAUAAAAAAUAUUUUCUUGUUUUUUACUUUUUUUAACAUAAGAUCAGUAUGUUCAACAUAAAGUUAAUAGUUAUCAAAGGUUACAGGCUUAUAAUUUGAUACACCAGCCACGCGAUACAUCUACAUAAGACUCAUUCGUGACGCUCAGAUAAAAAAAAGGUAGAAAUCUAAACAAGCACAAAGUUGAAAAGCAUUAACAAACAAGUGUUUACACAAUUAUUCUAGAUAAUCACAGAUUCAAAAAGUUUAUAGAAACAUCUCAAUUUUCAAUUACCCUAAAUAAAAUCAUGCAGCGUUUUAAAAUCUGUGAUCUAAUUGAUUCCAUACUUAAAGUUAGCAGACUAUAUGUAACCGGUAUAAAAAUAGAAAAAAAAAUAAUUGCAGAAAUUCAUUAGCUUUGUGAAGCAAAUUAUGUUUGUUAAACAUUCACUUUUUAUAUCUAGAAGAGCGAGGAGUGAAGGCACAACCCAGACACAGUGACAAGGUAUACAGUUGUCAAGGAUACUGCCGACAAUCAACGACAGCUUAUAAUCCUUUGUGUAACAAUUGUUGUCGAAAGAACAUUAAACAAUAUGACGUCGGACGAUGUUAUUUUAACGCGUGCCAUUGUUGGCAUUGGCUAACUUGAUUCAAAUUGAUUGUCAGUAUCAUGUAUAACCACACGUGACAGCAAUCAAAAAAUAGAAUUAACAACGUGUAGCAAUAUCAAAACUUUGUCGGAUCUCGCAAUUUUAUACAAUAUGGGAAUACAUGACCUUAUAAAUGCAUGGAGAACAACAAUACAACAAUCACGGCGAAAAUAAAUAAAAAUAAAAUGUACAGCGGUUCCAUGAGACAUUAGGGUGUUGACAAACAAUGGCUCUACAAAAUCCUCAAAUGAAAAACGUCAUGGCAAAUACGAAUUGCAUGCAAACAAAAACGCUCGUCAAAACUAUUCACUUACACAAAUUGGUUAAAAUAUUUUCCGUCCACCAAGUCAGAAUAGCUUCGUAUACCUUACAGUAAGAUUAUAUUAAAUUGUCCCGUCGAACGGAUAUGCAUGUAGCUGCUUAAAUACAUGUAUAUCUACUCAAAAUGGUUAUUUCAAUAAGAUGUUGACAAAUCAUCUGUUGUCACUUGCGAUACAAAAAGGCGUAUACUUGCAAUAUGUUCUAUGUUACUUGUAUAUUGCUUACUUGACGUUAUAAAUUAUAGAAUUAAACAGUAC